UACGUAGGGGGCAAGCGUUGUUCGGAUUUACUGGGCGUAAAGAGCUCGUAGGCGGUUUGUCGCGUCGAAUGUGAAAACCCGGGGCUCAACCCCGGGCCUGCAUUCGAUACGGGCAGACUAGAGUUCGGUAGGGGAGACUGGAAUUCCGGGUGUAGCGGUGGAAUGCGUAGAGAUCCGGAGGAAGACCGGUGGCGAAGGCGGCCUGCUGGGCAGAAACUGACACUGAGGCGCGACAGCGUGGGGAGCAAACAGG
rnacentral:rRNA from 1 species